CAUGAGCAGCCAUCCCCACCAUGCCCCUCUGCCAUAAUGUCCUGCCUGGGAGCCACUGGACUAUGGACUCUACAAACUGUGAGGCAAAAUAAACCUUUCCUCAUUUAAGCUGUGACGAGACAAACCAUGCUUCUGCCACAUCCACACAGGACAUUUUGGAUCAAGUGACUUCUGAGAAGAAAACUGAGGCUCAGCCUGUCCACCAAGCUUACCAAAUGAGCUCGUUUGAACAGCCCUUCCAUGCUCCAUAUCAUGGAUCUAGAGCUGGAAUAGCUACUCAAUUUAGCACUGCCAACAGACUGGUGAACCUGGGGGAACCAGGGACAAGUGCUGAAUGUUCAGAAUUUCCCUUGGUGAAUGUAAAUGAUAACAGAGCUGGGAUGACAUCUUCAGCAGAUGCCACAACUGGCCAGACUUUUGGCUAAAAAAAAAA